AAAGUCGUAACAAGGUUUCCGUAGGUGAACCUGCGGAAGGAUCAUUAACACGUAUCCAACGUUAAAACCCCCCUGUGAACCUUCAGUGCUGCUCGCCCGCUCCGUUAGAACGCGGCAAUCCCUGGUAAAUCAUCGCCGAACAGUUUUGAUUCAGGGACUUCUGCAUGGGGCGACGCUUGAGCGCGAGGCAAGUGACCCGGAGCUCUGCUGCUGUGUCUGUCGCUAACAAUGUUCAUGACCUUCGAAAAACAGGAUCGCUAGAGGCCGACACGGCAGGCGACCGGGUCAGCGGUCCCUGAAAACGGGCCUGCGCUUAAUUGUGCGGCCACCAAAACUCGAACAACUGUUAACAAUGGAUAUCUUGGUUCUC
rnacentral:misc_RNA from 1 species